rnacentral:rRNA from 1 species
GAUGAACGCUGGCGGCGUGCCUAAUACAUGCAAGUCGAGCGAACAGACGAGGAGCUUGCUCCUCUGAUGUUAGCGGCGGACGGGUGAGUAACACGUGGAUAACCUACCUAUAAGACUGGGAUAACUUCGGGAAACCGGAGCUAAUACCGGAUAACAUGUUGAACCGCAUGGUUCAACAGUGAAAGACGGUCUUGCUGUCACUUAUAGAUGGAUCCGCGCCGCAUUAGCUAGUUGGUAAGGUAACGGCUUACCAAGGCAACGAUGCGUAGCCGACCUGAGAGGGUGAGGGGCCACCCUGGAACUGGAAACGGGUCCAAACUCCAAGGGGGGGCCGCAGGGGGAAAUUUCCCGAAAGGGGGGAAAGCCUGCGGGAGAAACGCCGGGGGGGUGAAGAAGGGCUUGGGAUCGUAAACCUUUUUUAUUAGGAAAAAACAAAUGUGAAAGUAACUACCACCGUCUGGACGGUACCAAAACAGAAAGCCACGGCUAACUACGU